rnacentral:rRNA from 1 species
AUUGAACGCUGGCGGCAUGCCUUACACAUGCAAGUCGAACGGCAGCGGACCUUCGGGUGCCGGCGAGUGGCGAACGGGUGAGUAAUAUAUCGGAACGUACCUUUCAGUGGGGGAUAACGUAGCGAAAGUUACGCUAAUACCGCAUAUUCUGUGAGCAGGAAAGCAGGGGAUCGCAAGACCUUGCGCUGAUUGAGCGGCCGAUAUCAGAUUAGCUAGUUGGUGAGGUAAAGGCUCACCAAGGCGACGAUCUGUAGCGGGUCUGAGAGGAUGAUCCGCCACACUGGAACUGAGACACGGUCCAGACUCCUACGGGAGGCAGCAGUGGGGAAUUUUGGACAAUGGGCGCAAGCCUGAUCUAGCCAUGCCGCGUGAGUGAAGAAGGCCUCGGUU